rnacentral:miRNA from 1 species
GACCAGCUCUCCUGGUUUGCCUGGGACUGAGGGGUUUCCCUGGUUGCAGGACUUACAGUUCUAAAACUGGGAA